CCUACGGGAGGCAGCAGUGAGGAAUAUUGGUCAAUGGACGAGAGUCUGAACCAGCCAAGUAGCGUGAAGGAUGACUGCCCUAUGGGUUGUAAACUUCUUUUGUAAGGGAAUAAAACGAGGCACGUGUGCCUGUCUGCAAGUACUGUAUGAAUAAGGAUCGGCUAACUCCGUGCCAGCAGCCGCGGUAAUACGGAGGAUCCGAGCGUUAUCCGGAUUUAUUGGGUUUAAAGGGAGCGUAGAUGGGUUGAUAAGUCAGUUGUGAAAGUUUGCGGCUCAACCGUAGAAUUGCAAUUGAUACUGGCAGUCUUGAGUACAGUUGAGGUAGGCGGAAUUCGUGGUGUAGCGGUGAAAUGCUUAGAGAUCACAAAGAACCCCGAUUGCGAAGGCAGCUUACUAAGCUGUGUCUGACAUUGAUGCUCGAAAGUGUGGGUAUCAAACAGGAUUAGAUACCCUAGUAGUC
rnacentral:rRNA from 1 species